rnacentral:rRNA from 1 species
GACGAACGCUGGCGGCGUGCUUAACACAUGCAAGUCGAACGGAAAGGCCCUGCUUUUGUGGGGUGCUCGAGUGGCGAACGGGUGAGUAACACGUGAGUAACCUGCCCUUGACUUUGGGAUAACUUCAGGAAACUGGGGCUAAUACCGGAUAGGAGCUCCUGCUGCAUGGUGGGGGUUGGAAAGUUUCGGCGGUUGGGGAUGGACUCGCGGCUUAUCAGCUUGUUGGUGGGGUAGUGGCUUACCAAGGCUUUGACGGGUAGCCGGCCUGAGAGGGUGACCGGCCACAUUGGGUCUGAGAGACGGCCCAGACUCCUACGGGAGGGAGGAGGGGGGAAUAUUGCACAAUGGGCGGAAGCCUGAUGCAGCAACGCCGCGUGCGGGAGGACGGCCUUCGGGUUGUAAACCGCUUUCGCCUGUGACGAAGCGUGAGUGACGGUAAUGGGUAAAGAAGCACCGGCUAACUACGU